rnacentral:rRNA from 1 species
GACGAACGCUGGCGGCGUGCUUAACACAUGCAAGUCGAACGGAAAGGCCCUGCUUUUGUGGGGUGCUCGAGUGGCGAACGGGUGAGUAACACGUGAGUAACCUGCCCUUGACUUUGGGAUAACUUCAGGAAACUGGGGCUAAUACCGGAUAGGAGCUCCUGCUGCAUGGUGGGGGUUGGAAAGUUUCGGCGGUUGGGGAUGGACUCGCGGCUUAUCAGCUUGUUGGUGGGGUAGUGGCUUACCAAGGCUUUGACGGGUAGCCGGCCUGAGAGGGUGACCGGCCACAUUGGUCCUGAGGUGCGGCCCAGACUCCAACGGGAGGCAGAGGUGGGGAAUAUUGCACAAUAGGCGGAAGCCUGAUGCAGCAACGCCGCGUGCGGGAUGACGGCCUUCGGGUUGUAUACCGCUUUCGCCUUUCACGAAGCGUGAUUGACGGUAAUGGGUAAAGAAGCACCGGCUAACUACGUG